rnacentral:misc_RNA from 1 species
GAUGAAGAACGCAGCGAAAUGCGAUACUUGGUGUGAAUUGCAGAAUCCCGUGAACCAUCGAGUCUUUGAACGCAAGUUGCGCCCGAAGCCAUCAGGUUGAGGGCACGUCUGCCUGGGCGUCACAUAUCGUUGCCCAAUGCCUAUUGCAGUGCAAUAGGAAUUUCUAGGGCGAAUGAUGGCUUCCCGUGAGCGUUGUUGCCUCGCGGUUGGUUGAAAAUCGAGUCCUUGGUAGGGUGUGCCAUGGUAGAUGGUGGUCGAGUUAGAACGAUACCGAUCAUGUGCAUGCUCCCCAAAAUAUGGCCUCUAUGACCCACACUCGUCUUUUGACGCUCAUGACGAGACCUCAGGUCAGGCGGGGCUACCCGCUGAAUUUAAGCAUAUCAAUAAGCGGAGGA